CCUACGGGAGGCAGCAGUGGGGAAUAUUGGGCAAUGGAGGAAACUCUGACCCAGCAACGCCGCGUGAGUGAUGAAGGUCUUCGGAUUGUAAAGUUCUUUUCUAAGGGAAGAAGAAAGUGACGGUACCUUACGAAUAAGCCUCGGCUAACUACUGGCCAGCAGCCGCGGUAAUACGUAGGAGGCGAGCGUUAUCCGGAAGGACUGGGGGUAAAGGGUGCGUAGGUGGUGUGGCAAGUUAGUAGCGAAACUCCGGGGCUCAACCUUGGAACUACUACUAAAACGGUUGGACUUGAGUGCAGGAGGGGCAAGCGGAAUGCCUAGUGUAGCGGUGGAAUGCGUAGAUAUUAGGAGGAACACCAGUGGCGAAGGCGGGUUGCUAGACUGUAACUGACGCUGAGGCACGAAAGCGUGGGGAGCAAACAGGAUUAGAUACCCCUGUAGUC
rnacentral:rRNA from 1 species